rnacentral:rRNA from 1 species
GACGAACGCUGGCGGCGUGCUUAACACAUGCAAGUCGAACGAAGAGCGAUGGAAGCUUGCUUCUAUCAAUCUUAGUGGCGAACGGGUGAGUAACGCGUAAUCAACCUGCCCUUCAGAGGGGGACAACAGUUGGAAACGACUGCUAAUACCGCAUACGAUCUAACCUCGGCAUCGAGGAUAGAUGAAAGGUGGCCUCUACAUGUAAGCUAUCACUGAAGGAGGGGAUUGCGUCUGAUUAGCUAGUUGAGGGUACGCCACAAGCGAUGAUCAGUAGCCGGUCUGAGAGGAUGAACGGCCACAUUGGGACUGAGACACGGCCCAGACUCACGGGAGCAGCAGUGGGGAAUCUUCCGCAAUGGACGAAAGUCUGACGGAGCAACGCCGCGUGAGUGAUGACGGCCUUGGGUUGUAAAGCUCUGUUAAUCGGGACGAAAGGCCUUCUUGCAUAG